AGUAGUGAGAGGUAAUGUAAUAGACUAAUAGUGAGAGGUAAUGUAAUAGACUAAUAGUGAGAGGUAAUGUAAUAGACUAGUAGUGAGACUUAAUGUAAUAGACUAAUAGUGAGAGGUAAUGUAAUAGACUAAUAGUGAGAGGUAAUAUAAUAGACUAAUAGGGAGAGGUAAUAUAAUAGACUAAUAGGGAGAGGUAAUGUAAUAGACUAAUAGUGAGAGGUAAUAUAAUAGACUAAUAGGGAGAGGUAAUAUAAUAGACUAAUAGGGAGAGGUAAUGUAAUAGACUAAUAGGGAGAGGUAAUGUAAUAGACUAAUAGUGAGAGGUAAUGUAAUAGACUAGUAGUGAGAGGUAAUGUAAUAGACUAAUAGUGAGAGGUAA
ensembl:lncRNA